GACGAACGCUGGCGGCGUGCCUAAUACAUGCAAGUCGAGCGAGCGGAACUAACAGAUUUACUUCGGUAAUGACGUUAGGAAAGCGAGCGACGGAUGGGUGAGUAACACGUGGGGAACCUGCCCCAUAGUCUGGGAUACCACUUGGAAACAGGUGCUAAUACCGGAUAAGAAAGCAGAUCGCAUGAUCAGCUUUUAAAAGGCGGCGUAAGCUGUCGCUAUGGGAUGGCCCCGCGGUGCAUUAGCUAGUUGGUAAGGUAAAGGCUUACCAAGGCGAUGAUGCAUAGCCGAGUUGAGAGACUGAUCGGCCACAUUGGGACUGAGACACGGCCCAAACUCCUACGGGAGGCAGCAGUAGGGAAUCUUCCACAAUGGACGCAAGUCUGAUGGAGCAACGCCGCGUGAGUGAAGAAGGUUUUCGGAUCGUAAAGCUCUGUUGUUGGUGAAGAAGGAUAGAGGUAGUAACUGGCCUUUAUUUGACGGUAAUCAACCAGAAAGUCACGGCUAACUACGUGCCAGCAGCCGCGGUAAUACGUAGGUGGCAAGCGUUGUCCGGAUUUAUUGGGCGUAAAGCGAGCGCAGGCGGAAGAAUAAGUCUGAUGUGAAAGCCCUCGGCUUAACCGAGGAACUGCAUCGGAAACUGUUUUUCUUGAGUGCGGAAGAGGAGAGUGGAACUCCAUGUGUAGCGGUGGAAUGCGUAGAUAUAUGGAAGAACACCAGUGGCGAAGGCGGCUCUCUGGUCUGCAACUGACGCUGAGGCUCGAAAGCAUGGGUAGCGAACAGGAUUAGAUACCCUGGUAGUCCAUGCCGUAAACGAUGAGUGCUAAGUGUUGGGAGGUUUCCGCCUCUCAGUGCUGCAGCUAACGCAUUAAGCACUCCGCCUGGGGAGUACGACCGCAAGGUUGAAACUCAAAGGAAUUGACGGGGGCCCGCACAAGCGGUGGAGCAUGUGGUUUAAUUCGAAGCAACGCGAAGAACCUUACCAGGUCUUGACAUCUAGUGCCAUUUGUAGAGAUACAAAGUUCCCUUCGGGGACGCUAAGACAGGUGGUGCAUGGCUGUCGUCAGCUCGUGUCGUGAGAUGUUGGGUUAAGUCCCGCAACGAGCGCAACCCUUGUUAUUAGUUGCCAGCAUUAAGUUGGGCACUCUAAUGAGACUGCCGGUGACAAACCGGAGGAAGGUGGGGAUGACGUCAAGUCAUCAUGCCCCUUAUGACCUGGGCUACACACGUGCUACAAUGGGCAGUACAACGAGAAGCGAGCCUGCGAAGGCAAGCGAAUCUCUGAAAGCUGUUCUCAGUUCGGACUGCAGUCUGCAACUCGACUGCACGAAGCUGGAAUCGCUAGUAAUCGCGGAUCAGCACGCCGCGGUGAAUACGUUCCCGGGCCU
rnacentral:rRNA from 1 species